rnacentral:lncRNA from 1 species
CGCUUCCAGGCGGACUCCAUGGGGCAAUUUACAUGUCAAGUGAUCCUGAGGUCCUGGUGUGAUACCAGAGUCUAUGUGCUAGAGGCUCAGGUUACUUCACAGAGAGGAUCCGCCCACUUGGACUUCAGUCAGCCUGCUCACCGUUCAAUCACACAAGACAUACCACUGCACAAUGAGACCCGCCAAGACUGGAAAAUGCAAGCUGAGGUGUUUGGGGAAGGAUUCUCUGGCCCAAAGGUUUUAAAUGUGCCAGCAGGGACAAGAGCCUGCUACCCCCUCACCUUUCACCCUUCUGUACAAUGCAGUGUCACGGUAAUGCCUUUUUUGUUGUUGUAGUUUCAUUGCUUCUUUCUCUCUUUGUGUAUUUUUCUUUUUGUCUUGCUAUUAUCUUCUUCUUGCUUAACAUAACACUCAGAUAUACAAUGAAAUAUUUACAGUGUGAUGGCUGCGAGUUAGUGUGUAAUCACGAUAAUUUAAGCAUCGACACUUAGGAGAAAGCCCACUCUGAAAUCCCCU